UAAAAGUUUUAUUUUAGCUUAUAAAAUUAUUAUUAAUUUAAUUUAUAUGUAAAUUUUUGUGUAUUUAUUUAUUUAUUUUAAAAAUUAUUUAAAUAAGCAAUAAUUAAUAUUAUUAGUUAAAGAAAUUUAGAAAUAGUAAUUUUAAAUAGUAUUGAUUAAUUUUGUGCCAGCAUUCGCGGUUAUACAAUUUAUACAAAUAAUUUUUUAUAGUUUAAGUUAAAUUGUAAUUUAUAUUAAAUUAAAUUAAAUUUAUUAAGUGAAAUUUUUAAUUUUAUUUUUUUUUAAAAAAAAAUAUUGAAGCUAUAAAAUUUUAAUAAUAAACUAGGAUUAGAUACCCUAUUAUUAAAAAUUUAAAUUAUAAAAAUUUAGGUAUUAAUAGUUAUUUUCUUUAAACUUAAAAAAUUUGGCGGUAUUUUAGUCUAUUCAGAGGAACUUGUUUUAUAAUCGAUAAUCCUCGUUGGACCUUACUUUUUUUAUUAAUAGUUUAUAUACCGUCGUUAUUAAAAUAUUUUAUAAAAAUAUUAAUUUUUAUAAUUUUAUGAAAAAAUAUAUCAGAUCAAGGUGUAGCUUAUAUUAAAGUAUUAAUGAGUUACAAUAAAAUUAUUUAUAUGAAUAUAAAUUUGCAAUAUUUAUUAAAGGCGGAUUUGAUAGUAAAAUUAUAAAGAAAAAUAAUUUGAUUUUAGCUCUAAAAUAUGCACAUAUCGCCCGUCACUUUUAUUAUUAAGAUAAAAUAAGUCGUAACAUAGUAGGUGUACUGGAAAGUGUACCUAGAAUAC
rnacentral:ncRNA from 1 species